UGCUCCACAGUCCAAUUCAUCCCCUAUUCCUAUCAUAGUGGAGACUGGCCCGGAUGACUGCCACCACAAAUUCCACAGUUCACGGGCCCUGGGUCUCCUGACCUUGGUCCUGGGAUAAGUUUGACUGCAAACAUUG